rnacentral:rRNA from 1 species
AUAUCCCUCAUAAGUUAGCGAAAGAGGGCCGGGUAUUUUUUUACGUGAUAAAGCUUUACUUCCCUAUGUUUGUGUUUUUUUUAACACUUUCAUUAGUGCACUAACUUUAGUGUCCUUGAAUAUAUAAGGCAAUUAUAGACUGUAAUAUUCUGCCUUUUGCAGCAUUAUAAAAAAAGUAGAAAAAAAAAGCAAAACUAAGUUGCACAAGGCGGAAAAUAAAAGUAAAUUAUUUCGUAAAAGGACUCAGGUGUCAUAGAAUAGGGCGCCCCGACUGUUUACUAAAAACACAGAUUUCUGCAAUUACGAAAGUAGUAGUAUAGGAGUCGAAAUUUGCCCGAUGCCAUUAACAUAAGUGCGGUCAUGGGAAACUGUGACCUAAUGAAAGUCUGGUUAAUAGCGGUCUUAACUAUGAGGAUCCUAAGGUAGCGUAAUCAGUUGGCCUUUAAAUGAGGUCCGGUAUCAAUAAUGUAACGAUGGCGCCACUGUCUCUACAACUUGCUCAGUGAAAUUGAAUUAGCCGUGCAGAUGCGGU